UCUCAAUGGUGUGUGGCAUUGGGUUUCAAUUCCAGGAGAUGGAUAUACCUAUCAUCCGUCAGUGGUGGUGCCUUCUACUCAUGGAACGAUUUUAAAUUGAUGGUAACUCCCCUCGCUGGCCAGCAGAGGCCACCAUCUCCGGACUUUUAGCAUUACGUCAUCCAUCUACACUGAUUGCGCAUACACCUGAUUGGAAUCUGGCUAAUGACCCAUGUACCUAUUAUAAGCCACACUAAAUUACUCGUUCAAGGCGAAGUCUUGUUUAGCCCC